AAAACUUUCAACAACGGAUCUCUUGGUUCUGGCAUCGAUGAAGAACGCAGCGAAAUGCGAUAAGUAAUGUGAAUUGCAGAAUUCAGUGAAUCAUCGAAUCUUUGAACGCACAUUGCGCCCGCCAGUAUUCUGGCGGGCAUGCCUGUCCGAGCGUCAUUU
rnacentral:rRNA from 116 species